GGCGCUGGCUCCCGGAAUAUGGAGCCCUGGGCGCGGGGGCGGCGUGUCAGGUGGUUGCGGAGCUGGUAAGAAUCAUAUUCUAAGAACUCAGCCACUCAGGUAUCCACCAUGGUGCUGGGUCCUGAACAGAAGAUGUCAGAUGACAGUGUUUCUGGAGAUCAUGGGGAGUCUGCCAGUCUUGGUAACAUCAACCCUGCCUAUAGUAAUCCCUCUCUUUCACAGUCCCCUGGGGACUCAGAGGAGUACUUCGCCACUUACUUUAAUGAGAAGAUCUCCAUUCCUGAGGAGGAGGUUAGUAUCAGGUCCUUGGAGGAGAACACUAUUGUCUGGGGAAAACCUGUGAGUGAAAGAUCUGCUGGAUGGCUCAAGUUCAGCAGCCUCAGGUUUAAUUUUGGCUGGCAAUCUCUGAAGACUAUAUCUAUAUAUCUAUAUAUAUAUAUACACACACACACACACACACACACCCCAUCUAUAUCUAUCUAUCUCUGUCUGUCUGUCUGUCCGUCUAUCUAUCUAUCUAUCUAUCUAUCUAUCUAUCUAUCUGUCUAUCUAAUCUUUUUUACAGACAGGGUCUUGCUCUGUCAUCUAGGCUCCAGUGCAGUGGCACAACCAUAGCCCACUG
rnacentral:lncRNA from 1 species